rnacentral:rRNA from 1 species
UCCAAUCGAACUCGGAGAUAGCUGGUUCUCCCCGAAAUAGCUUUAGGGCUAGCCUCAUAUUAGAUACCCGGAGGUAAAGCACUGAAUGGCCUAGCGCCCGAGAGGGUAGCGAAGCCUAUCAAACUAAGAAUGCCGGAGUAUUGAUGUAUGGGAGUCAGACAGUGUGAGAUAAAUCUCAUUGUCAAAAGGGAAACAGCCCAGAUCUACAGCUAAGGUCCCAAAUUGUAUCUAAGUGGAAAACGAUGUGGAAAUACGCAGACAACCAGGAUGUUGGCUCAGAAGCAGCCACUCAUUUAAAGAGUGCGUAAUAGCUCACUGGUCGAGCGUCUCUGCGCGGAAAAUUUAACGGGGCUAAGAUACAAACCGAAGCUUAGGCUGCACGUAAGUGCGGGGUAGGGGAGCGUUGUGUAAGCGGAGAAACAGUAGCGUAAGCGGCUGUGGAGUUUACAGAAGUGAGAAUGCCGGAAUGAGUAGCGCGAAUGUGGUGAGAAUCCACAUGGCCGGAAACCUCAGGUUUUUGGAGGAAGGUUCGUCCGCUCCAAGUUAGGCGGGAGCUAAGGUGAGGCCGAAAGGCGUAGCCGAUGCACAGACGGUAGAGAUUCCGUCCCCACCGAAAGAUUUAAGCGCAGGGACACUUUUAGAAGGUCGGAGCCAGGUGUUGGUUCUGGUAGAGAUCGAGGGAAAAUUAGUACCGAAGUCCGGCUGGAUAAGAGGCGAGAAAAGCUGCGUGUAUAUCUAAGGUGCCCGUACCGCAAACCGACACAGGUAGGUAGGAAGAAGAUUCUAAGGCCAACGGGAGAAGGGUUGUUAAGGAACUCGGCAAGUUGACCCCGUAACUUCGGAAUAAGGGGUGCUCAUGAAAGUGAGCCGCAGAGAAUAGGCCCAGGCAACUGUUUACCAAAAACACAGGUUUGUGCUAAAUCGAAAGAUGACGUAUACGAGCUGACGCCUGCCCGGUGCUGGAAGGUUAAAAGGAGAUGUGCAAGCAUUGAAUUGAAGCCCCAGUGAACGGCGGCCGUAACUAUAACGGUCCUAAGGUAGCGAAAUUCCUUGUCAGGUAAGUUCUGACCCGCAUGAAAGGCGUAAUGAUUUGGGCACUGUCUCAACAGCCCGCCCGGCGAAAUUGUAGUACCGGUGAAGAUGCCGGUUACCCGCGACAAGACGGAAAGACCCCAUGGAGCUUUACUGUAGCCUGAUAUUGGGUUUCGGUGUUGCAUGCACAGGAUAGAUGGGACACUGGGAAGGCAGUGCUUUGGCAUUGCUGGAGUGGACGUUGGGAUACCAUCCUUGCGACAUUGGAAUUCUAACCUGCGCCUCUGAAUCGAGGCGGGGGACAUUGUCAGGUGGGCAGUUUGACUGGGGCGGUCGCCUCCUAAAAAGUAGCGGAGGCGUUCAAAGGUUCGUUCGAUCUGGACGGAAACCAGAUGAUUGAGUGCAAACGCAUAAACGAGCCUGACUGCGAGACUGACGGGUCGAGCAGAGACGAAAGUCGGAGUUAGUGAUCCGGUGGUAUGUGAGUGGAAAUGCCAUCGCUCAACGGAUAAAAGUUACCCUGGGGAUAACAGGCUGAUCUCCCCCAAGAGUCCACAUCGACGGGGAGGUUUGGCACCUCGAUGUCGGCUCAUCGCAUCCUGGGGCUGAAUUCGGUCCCAAGGGUUUGGCUGUUCGCCAAUUAAAGCGGCACGCGAGCUGGGUUCAGAACGUCGUGAGACAGUUCGGUCCCUAUCUGUUGCGGGCGUAAGAGAUUUGAAGGGAGCUGUCCUUAGUACGAGAGGACCGGGAUGGACAUACCUCUGGUGUACCAGUUGUUCUGCCAAGGGCACGGCUGGGUAGCUACGUAUGGACGAGAUAAACGCUGAAGGCAUCUAAGCGUGAAACUCCCCCUGAGAUAAGAUCUCCACUGAGGCUCGACGUAGACUAUGUCGUAGAUAGGUCAGAGGUGGAAGUGCAGUAAUGCAUGGAGCUGACUGAUACUAAUAAGCCGAAAGCUUGACCA